rnacentral:rRNA from 1 species
GAUGAACGCUGGCGGCGUGCUUAACACAUGCAAGUCGAACGAAGCACUUAAGAUUGAUUCCUCGGAUGACGUCUUUUGUGACUUAGUGGCGGACGGGUGAGUAACGCGUGGGUAACCUGCCUCACACAGGGGGAUAACAGUUAGAAAUGACUGCUAAUACCGCAUAACCCGAUAGGAUCGCAUGAUCCAGACGGAAAAGAUUUAUCGGUGUGAGAUGGACCCGCGUCUGAUUAGCUAGUUGGUGAGGUAACGGCCCACCAAGGCGACGAUCAGUAGCCGGCCUGAGAGGGUGAACGGCCACAUUGGGACUGAGACACGGCCCAAACUCCUACGGGAGGCAGCAGUGGGGAAUAUUGCACACUGGGGGAAACCCUGAUGCAGCGACGCCGCGUGAGUGAAGAAGUAUUUCGGUAUGUAAAGCUCUAUCAGCAGGGAAGAAAAUGACGGUACCUGACGAAGAAGCCCCGGCUAACUACGUG